rnacentral:rRNA from 1 species
AUACGUCGACCGCNUAUUAUCUCUCCGGAGAGAACAGGGUCUUCCUUANUUGACUUUUGACCUCAAAUCAGGUAGGACUACCCGCUGAACUUAAGCAUAUCAAUAAGCGGAGGAAAAGAAACUAACAAGGAUUCCCCUAGUAACUGCGAGUGAAGAGGGAAAAGCUCAAAUUUUGAAUCUGGCGGUCUUUAGGCCGUCCGAGUUGUAAUCUAGAGAAGCGUUUUCCGCGCUGGACCGUGUAUAAGUUUCCUGGAAUGGAACGUCGUAGAGGGUGAGAAUCCCGUCUUUGACACGGACGACCAGGGCUAUGUGAUGCGCUCUCGACGAGUCGAGUUGUUUGGGAAUGCAGCUCAAAUAGGGUGGUAAAUUCCAUCUAAAGCUAAAUACAGGCGAGAGACCGAUAGCGAACAAGUACCGUGAGGGAAAGAUGAAAAGAACUUUGGAAAGAGAGUUAAACAGUACGUGAAAUUGCUGAAAGGGAAACGCUUGAUGUCAGUCGCGUCGACCGGGGAUCAGCCUUGCUUAAUCGCUCGGCGUACUUCCUGGUGGACGGGUCAGCAUCGGUUUUGACCGUCGGAAAAGGACUGGAGGAAUGUGGCACUCCUUCGGGAGUGUGUUAUAGACUCUGCUCGAAUAUGAUGGUUGGGACCGAGGAACUCAGCACGACCUUAGGGUUCGGGGCUUCGGCCCACGUUUGCGUGCUUAGGAUGCUGGCAUAAUGGCCUUAAGCGACCCGUCUUGAAACACGGACCAAGG